AUGUCAGAACAGGGACUGAGCCCGAGUAUUCUACUUUCUCCUGGAGAAAAACAAAGCGGAGGCCAGCACAGACAGGAUUUUAGGUCAGAAUGGUGUUUCUGCCUCAUCAGUGAGGAAGAGGGGAAGUGGAGCACCAGGGCUAGGCCUGUUUGUCUGGAUACUGAUGGCUGGGGCUGCUGGAGAGAGAAUGCCACAUCUAAUCAGCCACUGGAAAUGAGAAAGACAUUGAGUGUAGUAUGGAAACUGAAUACAUCCUCUCAGUCCCUGAAGAGAGAAAUGAGAUACGGUAUCUAUUCUGCUCCGGGUCCCACCCACACCCUGCACCCUGGGCUGCCUCACAUAUGCCUCUGGCUUCUCUGCAGACUGCAUCCAUGGGCAUGCCAAGUCCUGCCCUAUCCAGCUAGAAGAUUUGACCAUGUGGAAUUGUACCUUCUUGAAAGGAUGCUCUCCUGCUGUGCAAGAGGACGUGGUCAAAAGUUUAGCAUGUGGGCAGGAGGCAAGCACAGUCCUGAGGACACCAUUAGCAGGCGUUAA
rnacentral:lncRNA from 1 species